UACGUAGGGGGCGAGCGUUGUCCGGAAUCAUUGGGCGUAAAGCGCGUGUAGGCGGCUUGGCAAGUCCGGUGUGAAAGCUCGAGGCUCAACCUCGAGUCUGCACUGGAAACUGCCUUGCUAGAGUCCGGAAGAGGAGACUGGAAUUCCUGGUGUAGCGGUGAAAUGCGCAGAUAUCAGGAAGAACACCGGUGGCGAAGGCGGGUCUCUGGGACGGUACUGACGCUGAGACGCGAAAGCGUGGGGAGCAGACAGG
rnacentral:rRNA from 1 species